AUGCUUCACAGGAGGAUGCUUCAUGACGAUGCAAGAGGUGUUGGAGAGAUACUUCAUGAAACUGUUUGCAUUGCUGAUAAAUGUGAAGGCUUAAUUGCACAUCAACAAGAUAAUGGAUGGAUGUAUGGAUAUUAUAUAAUGAAGAACAUGUUUGAUAUCGAUGAUAUUUCUAUUGUUGAAAUAUUUGAUGAGGUAGUAUAA